CGAACAUUUAAAGAGAUGAAGGGGAGACAUGAGUUUUCUUCAACAUCUAUUACUUUUACACAGAUGUCCUUGGCACACAUCUAAUCCUGAGACGUGCUUAGGGUUACACACAUGGUGAGCCUACACCAGGGACUGCAUAACAGAGACUUUUCAAGAGAUGAAUCAUGAAGGGAAAGAGGUGUAAGAUAAAGUGAAGGCCCAUACUCCAAGUUGUACUCCUGGAUGCCAGAUGAUUGUGUUAAUGCUGUGUCUGACUUUCUGAAAAUUUUCAUAGGCAAAAUACCUCAAUAAUCAAGUUAUACAGACCCCAGUUUACAGGUGAUUUUUUAUUUUUUUCUGGCCUGUUUGGAAUCUGCACAGAAGAGUUUAUAUCAAUCUCCACCAACUCAACAGCAUCGAUCUAUAUUUGCAGAUUGCAAACAUAUAGUGAUGAAUGAGUACAUCCCAAGAUGGCAUAACUUUAAAAGAGUUCUUCAUGGAUUGCAAAAAACUUUGAAACUGACUGGGA
rnacentral:lncRNA from 12 species